AAAUAAGAUUUUGCCACCAGUA
rnacentral:snRNA from 1 species